rnacentral:rRNA from 1 species
GCGCACGCUGGCGGCAGGCCUAACACAUGCAAGUCGAACGAACUCUUCGGAGUUAGUGGCGGACGGGUGAGUAACACGUGGGAACGUGCCUUUUGGUUCGGAAUAACUCAGGGAAACUUGUGCUAAUACCGAAUGUGCCCUUCGGGGGAAAGAUUUAUCGCCAUUAGAGCGGCCCGCGUCUGAUUAGCUAGUUGGUGAGGUAACGGCUCACCAAGGCGACGAUCAGUAGCUGGUCUGAGAGGAUGACCAGCCACACUGGGACUGAGACACGGCCCAGACUCCUACGGGAGGCAGCAGUGGGGAAUCUUGCGCAAUGGGCGAAAGCCUGACGCAGCCAUGCCGCGUGAAUGAUGAAGGUCUUAGGAUUGUAAAAUUCUUUCACCGGGGACGAUAAUGACGGUACCCGGAGAAGAAGCCCCGGCUAACUUCGUG